rnacentral:rRNA from 2 species
AACAAGGAUUCCCUUAGUAACUGCGAGUGAAGAGGGAAAAGCUCAAAUUUAAAAUCUGACAGUGUUUUGCUGUCCGAGUUGUAACCUAGAGAAGUGUAACCUGUGCUGGACCAUGUACAAGUCUCCUGGAAUGGAGCAUCGCAGAGGGUGAGAAUCCCGUSUUUGACAUGGACYACCAGUGCAUUGUGGUUGUGCUCUCAACGAGUCGAGUUGUUUGGGAAUGCAGCUCUAAAUGGGUGGUAAAUUCCAUCUAAAGCUAAAUAUUGGCGAGAGACCGAUAGCGAACAAGUACCGUGAGGGAAAGAUGAAAAGAACUUUGGAAAGAGAGUUAAACAGUAUGUGAAAUUGUUGAAAGGGAAACGUUUGAAGUCAGUCAUGUUGGGUGGGGAUCAGCCUGGCAGAUUGUUGGGUGUACUUCCUGGUUGACGGGCCAACAUCAGUUUUGACUGCCAGAGAAAGGYGAAGGGAAUGUGGCACCUUUGGGUGUGUUAUAGCUCUUUGUCGUAUGUGGUGGUUGGGACUGAGGAAAGCAGUGCGCCGAAAGGCRGGGUUUCGACCACAUUCGCACUGAGGAUGUUGGCAUAAUGGCUUUAAGCGACCCGUCUUGAAACACGGACCAAGGAGUCUAACAUGCAUGCGAGUGUUUGGGUGGAAAACUCUUACGCGGAAUGAAAGUGAAAGUUGAGAACCCUGUCGUGGGGAGCAUCGACGCCCGGACCAGAACUUUUGGGACGGAUCUGCGGUAGAGCACGUAUGUUGGGACCCGAAAGAUGGUGAACUAUGCCUGAAUAGGGUGAAGCCAGAGGAAACUCUGGUGGAGGCUCGUAGCGAUUCUGACGUGCAAAUCGAUCGUCAAAUUUGGGUAUAGGGGCGAAAGACUAA